UACACAUUAAAAUCAUGACGGUACAUGGAAUAACGUCAUCUUUAAAUUCACACAAGCCACGAACGUGAUCUCGUCGAGGUUUUGUACGUUAUAAGAAACCGCAUUCACUUUGUGCAUGAAUAAGUAAUAAAAAGACGAGCAAGAGUCAUAUAGAAGCGUGAAACAAGAUAAUAUAUUUUCAGCGCAUAAAGAACUCUGUUUCGACACUCGUAAGCGUCAUGGGAACCCAUAGUUGCUAAUUGAGAAGAAUGCAAGGUCAAGGGGUUCCUAUCCAGAUCAUGGCGAGGAUGACAUAAGAAAGAAGCUAUGCUGUGGAAUGAGUCACAAUGUGGAGAAAGUUUUCUGGACAAACUUCAUACAGGAUUUGCGUUACGUUUUCAUAAUAUUCUGAUCCGAUGAGUUAAUUAAUUAAGUACUUCCUGCGACAUAAUUUCGUAAG